rnacentral:lncRNA from 1 species
GGUUGGUCCUGCGGGAUCCAGCGGGAAAGAUGAACUCCGUCGCUUUCUGCCUGUUUCUUUUGAGCCGCGUCGUGCCUUCCCCUGCUCUGUGCUGGGCGGUCUGCGGUCAGGCAGCCUAGGGUUUGUCUUGUGCUCAUUGGGCACCUCUUCAUGUCGGGUUUUCAGCCGUGAGCCCGUUACUUUUUUAAGCGGAACCCCGAGCUGGCGAGGGGGUUCGGGAGCAGCGGUUAGCGCGCGCCAUCGGGGGGAGCACCGUGACGCGUGAGCGCUCACUAAUGGAAGUUAGCAUCGUAGAGAGACACCAGUGGCGUUUUACACACUUCCUAAGGCAGUUCAGAUGGCUUCGCUUUGUCACCUUCCCGAGGCUGUCGUCCACAACAGCCCCGAGGGUUUGGUUUGAGAAUCCGUGGACACACCAAGACGACGGAUUUUAAGAGGAGCCACUAUGCCUCAGAGCUAUAAGGAGAGUCACGCUUCAUUGUCCUUAAUGUUUAUGUACAGCAUUUUGGCGACCUUUGAGGACAUUGUCUUUGAAGGACUAAUGUCUCUGAAGGAUUGUUGAGUUUAAGGGAGAUCAUAGGGUGGUUCCUGAAGACUACCCAACAAGAUUAGGAUUGCUACGGUAAAGCCCCAUAUUCCGGGGUUACUAGAGUUAAGAUAACUUAAUUGGAAACAAAGUUAAUAGUCUAAUGUCUAGGAAAGGACGAAGGGCACAGGCUUGAACCUUAGGCAAAGAUCCACUGCUAGUUUAACCUAAGAUACCUUUAUAGGAAGGAAUGUUGCCUUUGUGUCGGCAGUCUUCAUAGCAAAUGUUGGUUGUACUGAGAUUAUUUAUUUAUUUAUUUUUAACCCGAUGAGGAGUUUCAACUUCGAAUAAGGGGCACCUUUCCCUAUUUAUGGUCUCAUAGCUUUUCCUUUCCUGCCUUUAAUGCUAGUGCUGUAUGCUUACUAAAUACUCAGCAGUAGCAUGGCAAUUCAAGUUUGAGUGUCACAAGUUAGGUCAGAGAACCCCAAGAUGGAAGGUAUUGCCCAUGUUGUAUGACCAACACGAUUUUAAAUUUAAGCUAGGUGCUGAGUUUUAGUUGAUUUGACUGGAAACCAGUGGAACCAUUGGAGUUAAAAUUAGUGACCAAGGAUGCGCUCUUGAGAAUGUCAAGUCCUGCGCUUCCUAACAGGCUGAAAGGAGGGGAGAGAGAGGGAUCCCAAUUUCACUACACGGGAGCUUUCUCAUAGAACAACAAUCU